rnacentral:tRNA from 1 species
UGUGGCAGAACAGUGCAAUAAAUUUAAGAUUUAUAAACAAAGUAGUACUUUCCUUAGA